AGUGAGUGACAUGGUGUUCAUUUCCACUAAGCCAAAGCAGUUUACAGUUGCUGACGGUGUAAGGAGUACACGUUACAAGGCCGUGCGGGGGGAGCUGCCAGACCCAGAUGUCCUCAAAGUCAGCGAGGCAUACAAGGACUUCUCAGCAGACAUCGCACCACGAAAAGUUGAUAGACGCCAUCUUGUGCACAGAGCCUAUUGUCUGGAUUAGAGCAGAAGCUAUUACAUGUUUUAGGAACAGCAUAUACACAGAACAAAAAGGAUCCACGUGGAUAUAAAGGUAUUGGUAUAAAGCUACUUACUAAACUGGAGGUAGUUUUUUAUGCAAAAAUGUAAAUGUGCAAUAAAGAAGACUUGGACAAGUCCA